UUGGCCCUGAAUCAAGGCCAGCAGUUUGCUGAAGCUGCUGGUUUCAAGCAGGAGCCUAAAGAAAUGUCUUUCUAUGGUCUGUUGGCCAUUUCAGAACUUAGGAAAUGUGGAAUGGUCAAUUCAUUAGAAAGAAACAUCU